AAUGAACGCUGGCGGCAGGCUUAACACAUGCAAGUCGAGCGCCCCGCAAGGGGAGCGGCAGACGGGUGAGUAACGCGUGGGAAUCUACCCAUCUCUACGGAAUAACGCAUGGAAACGUGUGCUAAUACCGUAUACGUCCGUCGGGAGAAAGAUUGAUCGGAGAUGGAUGAGCCCGCGUUGGAUUAGGUAGUGGGUGGGGUAAAGGCCUACCAAGGCGACGGACCAUAGCGGGUCUGAGAGGAUGAUCAGCCACACUGGAACUAGGCCAUGGCCCAGAAUCCUGCGGGAGGGAGCAUUGCGGAGUAUUGGACAGUGGGCGCAAGCCUGAUCAAGCCCGGCCGCGUGAGUGAUGAAGGCCCUAGGGUUGGAAAGCUCGUUCACCGGUGAAGAUAAUGACGGUACCCGGAGAAGAAGCCCCGGCUAACUUCGUGCCAGCCGCCGCCGUAACAC
rnacentral:rRNA from 1 species